rnacentral:lncRNA from 1 species
UAGAGGUGACCGAUAUGAAGAACAAUCUACCCAUGGAAGAACUGCUAGUUGGUGAUGGGGAUGAGGCGGCCGUAUGCCUUGCGUUCGUUGUCCUUGGGCACGGUGAUGGUGAGCACGCCGUUCUCGAGCGUGGCGUGGACGCUGUCGGUGUUGGCGUUGGGCGGCAGCCUGACGGUGCGCACGAAGCGCUCGGAGCUCCGCUCGACGCGGUGCCACCGGUCGCCCUUGUCCUCGGCGGCGCGCUGCCGCUGCCCGCUGAUCCGGAGCACCUUCUCCUCCUCCACCUCCACCUUCACCUCGUCGCGCCGCACCCCGGGGAGGUCCGCCAUGAACACGUGCGCCGCCGGUGUCUCCUUCCAGUCCAUGCUCGCCGUCGCGAACGGCGCCAGCCCCAGCGACGGCGCCGCCAACGCCGUCAGCGAGAUGGCGUCCACGAACGGUUCCAGGACGAUGUCGAUGCUCGCCGGCUCCACCUCCGCGCCGCCACCGCCGCCGGCGGUGCGCGCGCCGGCGCCGCCCUUCUGCUGGCCCUGCUGCUUGCGCCCCAGCAUGCUGGUGAUCAUCGACAUGCCAGCUGCUUCGCUGAUGAGGUGUUUCAGUCCUCACUCACUCGGUGUGUGUGCUCACUUACUUCUUGAUGCU